CAAAUGCUUGGUUUCAGCUUAAGUUUUUACGUUAUUAUUAAAAUUGUAUGAAAGCUAAAGUAAGAUUUAAAAUGACCAGAUUAUAUAUCUGAUUAGAAAAGUAGGAGAAUAGACAUAAUAAACCCUUAUAGUCUCAGCAUAAAAUAUUGUAAAUAGCAAAUAUAUUAAAGUAUGAUACAGUAAUAAUAAAAAAUCUGAUAAAUAUUUGUGCCAGCAUUCGCGGUUAUACUUUAAGAUUAAGUAAAAAAUUUAGGGGAAUAGUUAAAUGAAUAAUUAAAGAUUAUAUAUGGGUAAUAAAAGGUAAAAUUAGAAUAUUAUUUUGUAUGCAAAAAAGAUUAUAAUUGAAGCUAAAAAAAUUUAGUAAUAAACUAGGAUUAGAUACCCUAUUAUUCUAAAAUAAAUCAACCUAAGACUGAAUUAGUAAAAGAUAAAUACUUAAAAUUUAAAAAAUUUGGCGGCAAUUUAAUCUUUUCAGAGGAACCUGUUUUAGAAUCGAUAAACCACGAAAAAUCUUACUUGUUUUUGUAUAAACAGCUUGUAUACCAUCAUUACCAGAUAAUUCUUAGAAGAAAAAUUAUUAAAUAUAAUUAUUUAAAAAAAUUAGAUCAUGGUGCAGUUUAUAAACAAGAUAAAAUGGGUUACAAUAAAUUACUUUAUUGCGAAUUAACAAAGUAAUUUUGUUAUGAAGAGGGAUUUGAUUGUAUUUUGAGUUUAAUAAGCUGAUAAGAUAUAAGUUCUAAAUUGUGUACAUAUCGCCCGUCGCUUUCAUUUAUAAGUGAAAUAAGUCGUAACAUAGUAGAUGUACUGGAAAGUGUAUCUAGUGUAAA
rnacentral:ncRNA from 1 species